ACUGUGAACGUGGUUUCAGUCUAAUGAAUAUGAUCAAGACAAAAAGUCGCAAUCGUUUGGAAGUGCCACACUUGGAAAUGCUCAUGAGGAUCAAAUUCUUCCUGAAUUCUGGACAAAGGAUUGACCUAGACAAAGUCUAUUCCAAAUGGGUCACAUCAAAAGAUAGACGUUGCAAAGUUUGAACAGUUGAAGUUUGUUGCUUCACAUGUAUUGGUUUACUUAUCCAAGGUUAAAAGGAAGAAGACGUUGCUAGGAUUGGCAUAGUUCCACAUUUCAUGCUUUAUCUUGGUUGUUUGGUGUUGCCUACACUUUCCAAAGGAAAUUGACAGAUGAGAUGACUGAAGUUUAAUGACCUGAAAGAAAUAAUACAAGAUGGGUGCUUCAUGUGGAAAGGUUUACUUAUCCAAGGUUAAAAGGAAGAAGACGUUGCUAGGAUUGGCUUAGUUCCACAUUUCAUGCUUUAUCUUGGUUGUUUGGUGUUGCCUACACUUUCCAAAGGAAAUUGACAGAUGAGAUGACUGAAGUUUAAU